rnacentral:rRNA from 1 species
UGCAAAGCACACAGCAUCCUGAAGUACUCUACCUUCGCCACAGUUACUCACUGAAGCUAAGCAGGGCUGAGCCUGGUCAGUACCUGGAUAGGAGACCACUAGGCAACACUAGGUUGCUGUUGGAA